rnacentral:rRNA from 1 species
CCUACGGGAGGCAGCAGUGGGGAAUAUUGGACAAUGGGGGCAACCCUGAUCUAGCCAUGCCGCGUGAGCGAAGAAGGCCUUAGGGUUGUAAAGCUCUUUCAGCUGGGAAGAUAAUGACGGUACCUCUUGAGAAGCCCCGGCUAACUCCGUGCCAGCAGCCGCGGUAAUA